rnacentral:rRNA from 1 species
UACGCCAGCAUCCUAGCCGAAGCGCGGACCUCAGUCCCGGCUGGCCGUAUUACACCCUGGGCUAUAACACCUCCACCGAAGUGGAGGCCACAUUCCCAGAGCCUUUAUCCGGCCGCCGAAACUGAUGCUGGCCUGUCCAAACUGAGUAAACCGGUCAGAAGACCGGCCGAACAGUUUAAACAAGUCUGAUUGCAAGCGCUUCCCUUUCAACAAUUUCACGUGCUUUUUAACUCUCUUUCCAAAGUGCUUUUCAUCUUUCGAUCACUCUACUUGUGCGCUAUCGGUCUCUCGCCAAUAUUUAGCUUUAGAAGAAAUUUACCUCCCAUUUAGAGCUGCAUUCCCAAACAACUCGACUCGUCGAAGGAGAUUUACAUAGGGUGCCAUUUCCUGUCACAUACGGGAUUCUCACCCUCUAUGACGUCCUGUUCCAAGGAACUUAGACAGGCGGCUUCCCCAAAUCAUCCUCUACAAAUUACAAUGCGAACCCGAAGGCUAGCUUUCAAAUUUGAGCUGUUGCCGCUUCACUCGCCGUUACUAGGGCA